CGUUCCCUCUGCCGGUAGGCCUAACACAUGCAAGUCGAACGGCAGCACAGUAAGAGCUUGCUCUUACGGGUGGCGAGUGGCGGACGGGUGAGGAAUACAUCGGAAUCUACUUUUUCGUGGGGGAUAACGUAGGGAAACUUACGCUAAUACCGCAUACGACCUACGGGUGAAAGCAGGGGAUCUUCGGACCUUGCGCGAUUGAAUGAGCCGAUGUCGGAUUAGCUAGUUGGCGGGGUAAAGGCCCACCAAGGCGACGAUCCGUAGCUGGUCUGAGAGGAUGAUCAGCCACACUGGAACUGAGACACGGUCCAGACUCCUACGGGAGGCAGCAGUGGGGAAUAUUGGACAAUGGGCGCAAGCCUGAUCCAGCCAUACCGCGUGGGUGAAGAAGGCCUUCGGGUUGUAAAGCCCUUUUGUUGGGAAAGAAAAGCAGCAGGUUAAUACCCCGCUGUUCUGACGGUACCCAAAGAAUAAGCACCGGCUAACUUCGUG
rnacentral:rRNA from 1 species